rnacentral:rRNA from 1 species
UACGUAGGGGGCUAGCGUUAUCCGGAAUUACUGGGCGUAAAGGGUGCGUAGGUGGUUUCUUAAGUCAGAGGUGAAAGGCUACGGCUCAACCGUAGUAAGCUUUUGGAACUGUAAGACUUGAGUGCAGGAGAGGAGAGUGGAAUUCCUAGUGUAGCGGUGAAAUGCGUAGAUAUUAGGAGGAACAUCAGUGGCGAAGGCGGCUUACUGGACUGUAACUGACACUGAGGCUCGAAAGCGUGGGGAGCAAACAGGAUUAGAUACCCGUGUAGUCCCUGA